CUGCAAGGUGCUGCAUGGUUGUCGGUCAGCUCGUGCCGUGAGGUGUCGGGUUAAGUCCCAUAACGAGCGCAACCCUUAUCGUUAGUUGCCAGCUGGUAAAGCAGGGGACUCUAGCGAAACUGCCACCGUAAGGUGAGAGGAAGGUGGGGAUGACGUCAAAUCAGCACGGCCCUUAUGUCCAGGGCUACACACGUGUUACAAUGGCCGGCACAGAGGGCAGCUACCUGGUGACAGGAUGCUAAUCUCGAAAACCGGUCUCAGUUCGGAUCGAAGUCUGCAACUCGACUUCGUGAAGCUGGAUUCGCUAGUAAUCGCGCAUCAGCCAUGGCGCGGUGAAUACGUUCCCGGGCCUU
rnacentral:rRNA from 1 species